CACGUACUCCCUCCGUCCCAAAAUUCUUGUCUUAAAUUUAUCUAAAUACGGAUGUAUCUAGUUACGUUUUAGUGUUAGAUACAUCAGUAUCUAGACAAAUCUAAGACAAGAAUUUUAGGACGGAGGGAGUAGUAC
rnacentral:pre_miRNA from 1 species